UUGAACAAUCUAUCUAGCAGCCAUGUACACUUGCGACUUGAACAAUCUAUCGAGCAGCCAUGUAAUUGUUCACGUCGCAAGUGUACAUGGCUGCUAGAUAGAUUGUUCA
rnacentral:pre_miRNA from 1 species